rnacentral:rRNA from 1 species
CCUACGGGUGGCAGCAGUAGGGAAUCUUCCACAAUGGGCGCAAGCCUGAUGGAGCAACACCGCGUGAGUGAAGAAGGCCUUCGGCUUGUAAAGCUCUGUUGUUGGAGAAGAACGUGCUUGAGAGUAACUGUUCACGCAGUGACGGUAUCCAACCAGAAAGUCACGGCUAACUACGUGCCAGCAGCCGCGGUAAUACGUAGGGGGCAAGCAUUAACCGGAUUUAUUGGGCGUAAAGCGGGCGCAGGCGGUUGCUUAGGUCUGAUGUGAAAGCCGUGGGCUUAACCGGGGAAGUGCAUCGGAAACCGGGAGACUUGAGUGCAGAAGAGGAGAGUGGAAUUCCAGGUGUAGCGGUGGAAUGCGUAGAUAUAUGGAAGAACACCAGUGGCGAAGGCGGCUGUCUGGACGGCGACUGACGCUGAGGCUCGAAAGCGUGGGGAGCGAACAGGAUUAGAUACCCUAGUAGUC